rnacentral:lncRNA from 1 species
GGAGGGGGACGCAGAGAAGGCUGCUUUGCACUGCUGGCCCCGCCAACGUGACGGUCAGCCUCGCCGAGCGCUCGCACUAGCUCACACUCACUCUCACUCUCACACUCAUUCCCACCCGCGCUACAGCGCGAUCGCGGGGUCCCAGGCACCCUUCGCCGCACUCCCCCCCAGGAUCCCUCCAGUUAAUCAGAGCUGACUUCAUUGACAGCUUGCUCUGGUUAAUUACCACAGUGUUUUAACUGAAUGCCCCAAGGAAUUGAUGUAGCCAACCAUCACUUCAAGCCUCAGAACACAAGAAAUCUUGGCAGAGCUCUGGAGACAGUUUAUCAAUAUCUAAGAUAGGUGGGCCUGACCUGACACCAAGAUGAAGGCAUUCUCAAAAGUUGGCUGUUAUCUCUGGGAUUCUCUAGAAGAAGCUAUAUUCCUGAAGUCCUUCUGCUCAGAAUGUUCUAUGCUGCCUGGACCUGCCUUGCAAUUGAUCCUGGAUUUGAAACUGACAGCUGUGAACUAGCAGGAAAAUGAUGUGGCAAGAGUUUCCAUGCCUGAAGAAAAU